rnacentral:rRNA from 1 species
AACACAUGCAAGUCGCGGGGCAGCAUAGGGUUUCAGCAAUGAAAUUCGGAUGGCGACCGGCGCACGGGUGAGUAACACGUAUCCAACCUGCCCUUUACUCGGGGAUAGCCUUGCGAAAGUAAGAUUAAUACCCGAUGGCAUUGGGUUCCCGCAUGGGGAUUCAAUUAAAGGUGAAAAUUGGUAAAGGAUGGGGAUGCGUUCCAUUAGGCAGUAGGCGGGGUAACGGCCCACCUAACCGACGAUGGAUAGGGGUUCUGAGAGGAAGGUCCCCCACAUUGGAACUGAGACACGGUCCAAACUCCUACGGGAGGCAGCAGUGAGGAAUAUUGGUCAAUGGGCGCGAGCCUGAACCAGCCAAGUAGCGUGAAGGAUGACUGCCCUAUGGGUUGUAAACUUCUUUUAUACGGGAAUAAAGUCACUUACGUGUAAGUGUUUGUAUGUACCUUAUGAAUAAGCAUCGGCUAACUCCGUGCCAGCAGCCGCGGUAAUACGGAGGAUGCGAGCGUUAUCCGGAUUUAUUGGGUUUAAAGGGAGCGUAGAUGGGCUUUUAAGUCAGUUGUGAAAUUCUGCGGCUCAACCGUAGGACUGCAGUUGAAACUGGGAGCCUUGAGUGCAGUUGAGGUGUAUGGAAUUCGUGGUGUAGCGGUGAAAUGCUUAGAUAU